GACGAACCGUGCGAACGUUGUUCGGAAUCACUGGGCUUAAAGGGCGCGUAGGCGGGCAACCAAGUCCGGGGUGAAAUCUUUCGGCUCAACCGGAAAAGUGCCUUGGAUACUGGUUGCCUUGAGGGAGGUAGGGGCAGGUGGAACUUCCGGUGGAGCGGUGAAAUGCGUUGAUAUCGGAAGGAACGCCGGUGGCGAAAGCGGCCUGCUGGAUCUCUACUGACGCUGAUGCGCGAAAGCUAGGGGAGCAAACGGG
rnacentral:rRNA from 1 species